AUCACAGACCAUUGCCAGGCUUGGAGAAACCAUCCCCAGGGGCCCCGAAGGCGCCUGGUGUGGACUCAGAUGCCAAAGCAGGGAGAACAGAAAGCCUGGGGCCUGGCCUUGACCUGCACAGCAAAAGAUGUAAUGUUUACAUUCAACAGCUGCUUUCCAAGAUGAGGGGACAAAAGCCAUAAAGGAAAUCAUUGGAACAUUUAAAGAAAUUCCAAUAUAAUCUAUAUAAAAUAUUUUAACUUUUUUUUUUUUUUGGUACUAGGGAUCGAACUCGGGAUUGACUUCUUUUUAAAAGCAGGAUUGUGAUUACUUCCGUUACUCAAAGCUUAGAGUGAUGAGUCGGUUCAAGGUGAAAGUCGAAGAAGCAAGAGCAUCCCCAGCUUCACCCAUCCGUAACCAGGCCAGGCCCCUACACGCCGGGCAGCAGGACCUCACGGCAAACAGGCGAAGGCCCGAAGUACCAGACAGCUCUAACUGAAAGGCAAACACGGUACCUCCUUCCGGAAAAUGAUCUAAGAUGGAGCCUAGUGCAGAUACCUCCAGUCUCCAGCCAGAGGAGGAGGGAGCAGGAAGCUUGUGCUCCGGAUGUAAGACACCAUCACAAGGAACUUGGGAAAUAGCACAGAGGGCUUUACCACGACCUGCCUUGUACCUACAAUAUAGACUAAAGUCCUAGGGAACAGUGAUGCAGAAGAUUGAAGAGAGAUUUGUAGGCAACACUAUGGAGCUCCCUCACAGAAGCCCAGGCACCCAGCCUUACCAGGCCCUCUGCAACCCCUGAAGCCUGGGACUUGUGUACUCCUUGCCUGAGAUGGCACCAACCCUGCGGGCUCAGGAAGGACUGGCCACCAGGCAGACAGCACAAUGUAACAAAUCUCCAUGUAGCAAGCCUGAGAGCUGAACUAGAAACAGAACGGAUUAAGUCUGAGUAUUUAUAUUGAAAUCUCUCUAGUACAGGAGACCAGCUUGAAACUGCACUGAGCAGGCUUUAGAUAUCACUGUGAGUUGUCCUUCACCAGUACACAGUUACUCCCCUUUUUCAGCCUGGCUCAGUAGUACAUUAGCUCUGCUGUUCUCUACAUCUGCCUUCACGGCCCCUGCUAUGCACUAUCAUCAUACAUACUGAUUAAUCCAGAGCUCAAAGUCUUAGCCAGGAGAGAGCUGAAGAUCAAUUCCUGGCUCCCAGAAGUAAUAAACUAUCAUUCAUUA